rnacentral:lncRNA from 1 species
GAUACUAAAGAAAACUAACAUACCAAUAAUUGCUUUUUCUUACGCGAUUUGUUUUCAAUUUGUAUGUAUCCGUUUUAUUAUCAAUGUUCUUUCUGUGGUACGAUUGCCAAUGAUACAACUCUCCACAAGAGACCAAAAUGACACAUAAAGUAACAACUAGAGGUCGCCGUACGGCCUUCAAAUAUAAGCAAAGCCCAUACUGCAUAGACAGCUAUAAAAGGCCCCGAAAUGACAAUGUAAAACAAUUGUAACGAGAAAACUAACGGCCUUAUUAAUAUAAAAAAAAAAAAAAAAAAAAAAAUGAACGAAAAACAAAUAUGUUACACAUAAAUAAAUAAAUAAAUUCUAGCCC